rnacentral:misc_RNA from 1 species
AACUGAUACUACCUGCGGGAACCUGCGGAGGGAUCAUUACCGAAGUUACCCUUCAAAAACCCUUUGUGAACGUUACCUCUUGCCGCGUUGCCUCGGCGGGAGGCGGCGGCGGGGGGGUCGCCGCGCCCAGCGCAGGCCCUCCCCCGCCGUCCCCGCCGGCAGCGCCAAAACUCUAUUUGCACAGCGGACUGUAUGUUCUGAUUUACAAGAAAAACAAGUUAAAACUUUCAACAAUGGAUC